AAAAAUAAAUAGAGGAAAUCAAACCGCCAUUUAAGCCAAAGAACCGACCAUAAACCGAAAAGCAAACCAAAUAUCAAACCAAAGCCAUUCCGAAAUCGCUAAAAGCCUAUAAUCUUCUUCAAAUCGAACCAAAAUCACUUAGUUAAAACUUGAAUCGGACCGAAUCAUUCCAUUUCACUCUCUUCUUCGGCGAAGCUGCGAUCGCAGCACACAACCAACCCGCUCCUCCCCUUUUCCCGUUCCCGGCCACCGUUCGGCGAGAACAAGGUGGCGAUCAGCCCUUUUUGAUGCUAGACAGCAUUCCAGUCUCCUUUGAACCGACCGAGCUCUCCUUCAUGCGAAUCGACGCCCCCUUUUCCCUCCAGCACCGCUGUCUCUCUCUGCGCGCUUUCCCGACUACCUACGAGUCCCAGUCGGUGAGACUGGUAUAGGAAUGCCCCUCUCUUGUCACUGAACUCUAUUCUUACCUUCCUUCACGCCAAACAGACCUCCAGUGGCGCGAAUCAAAGCUGCCUCCUUCGACAGCUUCCUCUUCUUCGACUUCCAGCGACCUCAAUGCUUUUCCGGCGACAUAAUCUGACUUGACUUGAGGAUUCCGGGCAAGGACCUAGCUCCGGCCACCGUGCACGGCAGCUGUCCCAGUUGUCUGACGACAGUCUGGUGAGACUCCGACGAGGCAUAAGACAUAGAAGCCUCCCCUUGCCAUGCCGAUCCUGAAUCUGUAAAUGGAAAUGAAAUAGAUUGAGAUGAAGUGGGCACCAUGGGUUUGUGAGGGCGGUCUGCGGUACCGUCAGCCAUGUAUGGGGAGAAUGAAAAAAAAACAAUGAGAGGGAUGAUCAAGUGAGGAUUAGAUCGGUCAACCAUGUAUAGGAGAUCGGCUCCUGGUGCACACGUCUUGAGAGGACGAGCCAUGUGUGAGGACGGCUCGUCGAGGGUUUCGGUGACAUCACUGACCAAUUUCCACUUGUUUGAUUGUGUGAAGGUGUAAUUAUCUGUAGGUGCCGAGGUUGUGCCAUAUGCUUGAUUGGUUGUGCGUUCAUUUUAGUAUUUUAUGAAGCAUUUCAGGUGUGUAUUAUGCACCAUUUAUUAUUAUUCACUGAGUUGCAAAACUCAAUUUUCUUUUGUUUGACCAAUUUUAGGAAGUAGGUUCUCCGUUGUUCAUCUAGAGCUUUGAUUAUUCUCCACAGGGUCAUAAUAGUAAUUUUUAAUUUCCAUAGAUAUUUAAAUUCUGUAACUUAUAUAUAAAUACUCUUCUAUACCUA